rnacentral:lncRNA from 1 species
CCACAGUACAGUUUAACAGAGAAGGCCGUGGUUCCAGGAAAGGGAAGGGGUGACCCUUACCACCUAUUGUGCUGCAGGGCCCUUGCCCUUAUCUGCUCUCUUCCAGGAGCAUCUGCUAGAACAAAUAGAAACUCCUCUCCCCCUGUUCUCCUGUGCCCAGAUUGUGGGGCAUAACUGCUUUGCCUCCAGUCAUCAUCGGGGGGCAUAUCUACUCUUCGAGGACCAGGGGCUCGAGACCCAGGAGUUGGACCCAAAUUCCAAGCUGACCUCAGAGGUUCAUGAAGAUUGCUUGAUGGUGGAGACACAGGGUGAACAAUGGGAGGGUGGGAGGAUGAAUGGAAAAGAUCCCCCCAGGACUGAGCAUGAGGAACCUGAAGGCCCUGGCGCCUUUCUGGUAGUGUGGCAGUGUGUGUCAGUUGAGGCGUGCACCCUGGAGUACUCAGGAAUCUGGCCCCAAUAUGCUGGUUGGUCUCUGACCAUGGUCCCCAAGAGGCAUCUAUUCUGGAAGGAUGGGGGAGACUCUGGUAGUUCAGAGUCCUUCCUGUGUGCUUGACCCCCUGGCAAGUUUCACCCCUGUCACACAUAGCCAGAAACUGCUGGACACUCCUCGAAGUUCCUGAAAAGAGAAAAAGAAACCCAAAUAUUAAGCAUCUUCAGUAAACCAUUCUCCUUCCCAGAGGAUCAUUCCUGGCUGUACCUCUCAACUCCCCACACCUCCAAGAGCAUACACCUCAGGGGAAGAAGACUAGCUUUGCUUUUAAUUUCAUUUUUAAGAAUUCUUAAUAUACAUCAAAAUCAAGUCUCUUCCCUCCUACCUGGGUAAAUGUUGCCAUACUUCCACUUUACUCCACUAUAAUUCUUCCUCCACUCCCUCCCCAGGAAUGCCUCCCUAAUAUUGCAAAUGUAUACUCAGUGUAACAACUCUACUCUUAGAGCCACCACUCCAAAACAUCACUCUGCUUUUUCAAUUUGGUACCUUCACUCUAGUUAAUGUUUCUGCUUACAUUCUUGCUCAGUCUCUGAGAUCUCUUGUUUUUGUUCACACACUCCUACCACAUAUAUAGUGUGGAAUGCCUUUUCUACACAUCAAUUCCCCUUU